AUAUUUUUUUUACAGUGUGUAAACUUCGGACGUGAGAGAUUGCAGCCCUGCAAGGACUAGGCUACUGCAAAGAGGCGAAGCAACAUAGAGAGAGUAAGGAAGAUGAAGAUUAUGAAAGAGGAGAGAGAGCCAGAGGUGGAGAGCCAGAGGUGGUGGUUGGAGAAGUGGAAAGUGAGGCAUCUGAAAGGCAAUCUGAGAGUGAGGAUGAAGACAUUCAGGAUCAGAUUGAGGGACAGAAUGAGGGACAACCCAACAAGUCAUUGGGACAACCAGAUUCACCAUGCAUAUCAAGUACAGCACCAUCAGAUAUCAGCAAGUGCUUGGACAACACUCCAGUGCAGCCACGUCUGAAGAAAAGGUUCAUUGUAUGCAAAAAUAGAAAUCUUGUUUUACAAAAAAGAGAAACAUGGUUUUAAGAUUUACUGAGCACAAUUAUUUUAUGUUUAGGCUAUU